rnacentral:lncRNA from 1 species
UUGUGGUUCUAUGUUAUACUCUACUGGUUCACACCUCUAAAGGGACUCAGAAAUCCAUGGAGAGGGGGCCAAAGGAGAGAAUGCCUGAGCUUCCCUACCCAGUUCACCAGCAUUGCAGUCUUUCAGAAGGAACUUCCUGUCUAGAGAAUGACCAUUAGAAAUUUCUUAUACAGGAAAUUGAAGCUGUCCUCUGGGCAGUUAGGAUACAUAAUCCAUUUGGAAAAUUCCAUGUUGGUCCCAUCCCAACAAACUCUUUUCUCAUUCAUUGCUCUGUGUUCUUUUCUGUUAUUGCUUCCUGCCAAGUUUAAAUACAACAGACUGUUCUUUAAUUUCACUUUUUUGAAGCAAAUCUAUGGCAGUUACUCUUUCAUGACAAAGAAAUAGGAAACACAUCAAAAAACAGUUUGUUCUGUUCCUGGCAGGAGCUAUCCACACACCAACAAAGAGUUUCCAGACUACAGAUGCUCUUGGGCUAGACUGUUUGCAUGUGUUGGUCCACCACUUUGAUAAAUAUGUCUGUUAGAAGUCACACUGAUUGCUUUGUUCACUAUAACUUUCAUUCAACUGAUAUGAAGAGUUUCAGAUUCAUCACACCCCACAAAUAUGCAUGAAUAGUUUGGUUAAUUGGUUUGUUAAAAAUAUAUUAUUGGACCAAUGCGAUGGCUCAGUGAUAGGCACCUGCCAUUAAGCCUAAUAAUCUAAUGAAUUCUAAAACCCCACAAAGAAGAGAACUAGCUCCUACAAAUUGACCACACUGGAUGCAUGCACAUGCAUACAAAUGUGUUCAUGCAUGCACACACAGUUUAAAUAAUAAACCAGGUGUGAUGGUGCAGACCUGUAUUCACAACAAUUAGAAGCAGAGGCAGGAUAAUCAUUACCUCUCAAGGCUAGUCUGGGCUACAUAGUGAGUUUAAAGCCAAUCUGAACUAUUCGAGGCUCUACCUCAGGAAAAAAAAAGUAAAGCAACUAUUGACUGUAAUGUUGAUUUUUCUUCAUUAUAAAAAGCUGUACUUUUACCUCAUUCUUUACUUUUAGACAGUACAUACUAUGGUAUAUGACAGUUAAUAUUGUCAAUAGAGUCUAUAGUUACCUAGGAGGUAAUUCUGUGAGCAUGCCUGUGACGGAUCAUCUAGAUUAGGUUAUUUGAGAAAAAGUCCAUGACUGUGGUAGCACCAUUCUACGACCUGGUAUCCUGGACUCAAGUACAGAAGCUGAUCCCUAGCAGUCACAAUCACUCUGCUUCCUAGCAGCAGAUUCACUGUGACUAGCUGCUUCAUGCAUCUCUCUUAGUGCCAUCCUGUACCAUGAUAAAAAUGCAUUCAAAUUAUGAGCUAAAAUAAACUCUUCUUUAAGUUGCCUUUUUCUGAUAGUUUGUUGCAGCAGGCAAGUCAGUAAUAUAGAUACAUUCUAGAGAUUACAAUCUGAUUCAAUAUGAACAGGUUAGGUGGUCAAAAAUGGUUGAUAGUCUAAUAACUGACAUUUAAAACAGUCUUUACAAGAACCUUCCAAAGUUUAAGUAUCACCACUAUGCUUGAUCUGUGGAGUAUCACUGAGAUGAAAGGAAUACAAAGUAGUUUUUGACUGUUUUCUCAAUGCCAUUGAGAAGUUAAAAACCCUAGUAUGAAUGUAUCUGUAGUAGUCUUUCAAAAAUUCAAUACUGGCCAAGCAGUGGUGGUGCACGCCUUUAAUCCUAGUACUUGGGAGGCAGAAACAGGUAGAUUUCUGAGUUCGAGGCCAGCCUGGUCUACAGAGUGAGUUCCAGUACAGCCAGGGCUGCACAGAGAAAUCCUGUCUCAAAAAACAAACAAGCAAAAAAUUAAAUACUGUACCUAGGAUUAAAAAUAUUGUCAUAUCCUUUCAGCUACUACAGUAUCAACACACUUAAAUACUUAAUUUAUAAAUGUACUUUUAAAUGAUGAAAAUAAAAAUAUAUCUCUUAUAUAGAAAAAUAAAACUCUUAACAGAGGAUGGAGAAGAUGGCUUAAUAUUUAAGAGCACACACUGAUCUUCUAGAAGGCCUAAGACAGUGAAUGAAUGGAUGAAUGAAUGAAUGAAUGAAUGAAUGAAUGAGAAUCUUUGCCAGGCAUGGCAAAUGCCUUUAAUCCUAGUACUCAGGAGGCAAAGGAAACAGACCUCUUGAGUUCUAGGCCAUUCUGGUAUAUAUAAUGAGUUCCAGGACAGUCAGAGAGCUGCAUAAUAGAGGGACUGUCUUUUAAAGCAAAGCAAACAAAAAACAGUCAACAAGUACUCUUUUCUUGUAGCAUAUACUACUACUAUGUUUGUGAAAGACAAAGUGGUUGACAAUAAUCUAAAAUAAUCCUGUUAUCUGAGAAGAGGGGGCAGGCAUAGCAUAGCAUCUCAUUGAAUGCCUAUUAGGUGUAGUCCUAGCUACAUAAGGAAGAAAAGAAGAGAGGCAAAGAAGGCCAUAUCUUGACAAACUAAAAUAUUAAGAAAAAUUAAAAAGGGAUCAAAUAUUCUAUAUCAAGAUAUAUAGCUUUGGUUUUCAUCUAUACUACCUUGCUAAACAAGGGUUUUAUCUUUUUUCUUUUGUACUAUUGAAUUAUUCCUGGGGGGAAAAAAAGUAUUCUAGGGUAACAUUUUGCUUUUGUGUUGAUCAUAUGACCACUCUGAAGAAUUCUUAAUAAUUGCUCAAGUUGAAAAACUAAAAGCCAAUGAAGUUUAUACCCGUCUCUGGUGUUUAGAUUAGUCUUAACAUGCUUCAUUCUUCUACCGUGUGAGUAAAGUUGAGUCAGUUAGAACUAACUUGCUUGUUCUAUUCUCCGUCACUGAAGCCACAAUCUUCUACAUCACAGGUGCUGUUACUUUGGUGGUUGUGGAUGACCGUGUCUGAUAUCAGGAUACAAUUAAUCCACACACAUCUAAACAUGCCCUAUGUAUCCGUUGCAAUGCUUGAUUAUGUGGGAAAUGCCCAGUGCUUAAUGCUUAGAACUAAUGAAGCAAUGGAAUGUUAGAAUAUAAUGAUGAAUUAAUUGUAUGUUUCAAGUGUUCUGGUAAAGUGAAGUUUACCUAGGAUAGAUUGACAAUAGCAUUCCCACGUGCCCAUGAUAGCAUGGGGAAAUUGCUGUAUCCAUCUCCAUAUGAACAUACUAAUCUCAAUAAGAGAGCUCAACCUAACCCUAUUUUGGCUAGUUUUCAUAACUAGAAGAUUUCUAAAAAAAAAAAAAAAAAUUGGAACUCCCUCCCCCCAAAAACACCUUUAGAAAUAUUAUGAAAAAAAAUCAAGAAAAUUAAUUAUUUUGUUUUUAAAACUUGGAGUUAAACUUAUAUUUGCUUCUUCAUGGCUCGUUAGGCCACUUUCUACUACUCACAACUACUCAAGAAUACUCUUAUUUCCCUUCUCAAGGGCUCUGGUCUAGUGUCCUAGGCUCUACCAUACACGCUCUCUCACAUAAAUACACAUAGGUAAAAAUUGGAAAUGAAGAUCUGCUAAUGAGAGAGAAUGUGGUGUUCACCUUUCUGAGCCUGGGUAACCAAAAAUGAAAUUUGUACUCAUCAGUAACUAACUAAGACAAUUAUUUUUAUCUCAUUGCAUGUUUCCAAUUCAGCUUGCCACAAGCUUUUCGGAAGUAUCCUAUGCCUCUUCAGCACCGCUCCAUGUGUUCUGGCCUCUUGGCUUUUUCUUGUUUCUUUUUUCUUUUUUUUUAUUAGGUAUUUAUUUCAUUUACAUUUCCAGUACUAUCCCAGAAGUCCCCGCACCAGCUCCCCCACCCAUCCACUCCCACUUCUUGGCCCUAGUGUUCCCCUGUACUGAGGCAGAUAAAGUUUGCAAGACCAGUGGGCCUCUCUUUCCAUUGAUGGCCGACUAGGCCAUCUUCUGAUACAUAUGCAGCUAGAGAAAGGAGCUCUUGGGGGGUGGGGGGCGCUACUGGUUAGUUCAUAUUGUUUUUCCACCUAUAGGGUUGCAGAUCCCUUUAGCUCCUUGGAUACUUUCUCUAGCUCCUCCAUUGGGGGCCCUGUGCUCCAUCCAAUAGCUGACUGUGAGCAUCCACUUCUGUGUCUGCUAGGCCCGGGCAUAGUUUCACAAGAGACAUUUUGUCUUUUUCUUAAGUUUGCCUAAACCAAAUCAUCCGCUUUGUACUAUUCUAGAGAGCUGGACCAACUAAAAUGCCUUUGAAACUAUUUCUGUAAGUGAAACUUGUUUCUUAUGCUGGGAGGUGGACUCAUGGCUGGGAUAUCUUCCUUUUCUAGAAAGUAUCAAACGAUUACUGGCCUGUCACUGUCCUUUCACCUUAAGUUUCAACAGGAACCCAGAUAGAGCCCAGUGAGCACAGAACAAAAGGUUUCUUUUAGUUGAAGACUGAGUUGUGUUCUAUCUCUCUGUGAGCAAUAUCUACUCAUUCUAAGAAGCCUUCUUCAAGCAUGUUUCUUGUCCUAUUGUUUAGCCAGACAAGGCCCCCAGAUACUCCACAAAAACUUAUGCAAAAUUAAUAACUAAAUAAGGUCAAAAUCAGUGGCCUCCCAGUUGAAGACCUGUCCACUGCUUUUCAAGUAAUAAGGAAUGUUUGGAAGAUGGGGCGAGGAGUGGAUGCCUUUGCUAAGGAUUGACCAUAGUGGUAGUUUGCGCUUUUUUUACAUUUAUUACACUUGUUUAGUCUGGGUGAUGGCAUAUAGCUGGAGUUGGUUCUUUCCCUUCCAUCAUGUGGAUUCUAGAAAUGGAACUCAGUAUAUCACCUUUAACCACCGAGUCAUCUUCCCCGCCCAAGAGGUGUAUUUCGGUGGACUUGCUUUUAUUUUCGUCAAAUGGAACUUGUUAUCUAAAUGAAAUUUCUUGUCAUCUCUAUUAUUAGCUUGUCUCUAUAUUAUUUCAGUAUGUCAAAGAACAUUAUAUAAAAAAAUAAUACAGAGAGCAAUGAAUUUUACAGUGGAAAAAUACACAGAGCCAGGUGUGAUGGUGUGUACCUUUAAUCCCAGCACUGGGGAGGCAGAGGUGGGUGGAUCGCUGAAUUCCAAGCUAGCCUGUGCUACAGAGUGAGUUCUAGGAUGGAUAGCUAGGUCUACACAGAGCAACCCUGUCUUGAAAAACAAGCAAAAAACAAAGAUAGAAUGACGUAGGUUUUCUGAUUCAUAUCUAUUUUCUGUAACGUAUCUGGUCACUGAUGAGCUUCAUAUUCACAUGACGGCUAGGAUAAAAAAUAGAAUACAGUGCAUAAGUUAGCAACACACACUAGUUAAAUCUUAAUAGACAGGGAGAAAAGCCUUUGAUAAAGUUCAGCUUAGCUUCACGAUAAAAUCCCUGAAGAAACAAGGCAUAGGAAAAAAUACACUUUCACACAAUAAAGGAUAUAUGACAAACCCCAUUGAUUUCAUUAAAUGGGAAAACUAGAAAGCAGUCUCCUCAAAUAAGCACUAAAGCAAGAGAAGGAAAAUAGAUAAGAGCAGGAAAGAGUAUUCAAGUCAUUCACAUUUGCAGAUGACACAAUUCCACACUUACAACACCCUAUGAUAGGCUUCAUCAGAAGACUCGGGUUUCCUAAUCAUUAACAAAAAAUCAACAUAUCAAACUUAAGAGUUUUGCAAUAUUCCAAUAAUGAAGUUGUCAAGAAAGAAAUCAGAAAAAAACGUUCAUUUGCAAUAGGUUAAAAAAAUUAUAAAAUUUCUACAAUAGACCAAAUAGGGAGGAAAACCUCUGUAAUUUAAGUCACUGAAGAAAGAGUAACUGCAGAAGCGACUUCCCACACUUGGCAAAACUAAUAGUGUGGCACUGGAUGUGGUAUCAAAAUCAACUUGCAGAUGUAACACAAACCCUAUCAAGAUCCCAGAGACAUUCAGUUCAGGACUAGACAGACAGAUCCUACCAUUCUUGUGAAUCACACAACAUGUCCUUUAUCUGCCAACCACAGUAUCAUUUUACCAUUUGGGUUCUAGAUCCUUAAUUCAUUUGCUUCUCUUCAUUUCUACUAUUUUUUUUCCCAAAGCCUCUACCCCACCCACCCAGUGCAAUCUUUUUCUUUCACAUCUGCUCUCUUAUCUUGCAGGAGAAAGCUCAGAGUCCUUCAGUGGCCCACAGUUCUUUUUUGGAUCAUAACAAAAGAAAGAGAUUUGUUCAGUGUUCCAAACGCUUUACUAUGACCUUAGCACUUACCCUUGGCUUUGUGUGUCUCUCCUGCCUCAUGUGCCUCUUCUUGCUUACCUUACUGUUCUCUGGGACCUACCCAUUCUUACAGUUGGUUAAACGACCCAAACCCUCCUGGCCUCUCCAGAAUGCUGAGGAAUUUUGUUGUUCAUCUUGUUCAUAACAGCCUGUUCUCAACCUCAUUCAUUUAGCAUGAAACCUCAGUGGAAUGCUCUUCACCGUGACCAGCCUUUGUUAGAUUGAUUAGAUUGUCUUCACAUUUUUACAACCUUCAUGAGGCUGGGCUUUUCCUUCUUUGCACUUAUUAAACUGACAUGGGCUCAUUGGAUAAGUAUUUACUUGUUUGGCACUGUUCUCAUUUCAAAGCUAAAAUGUCCCUAAGUUAGCAGCAACUUCUACCCUUCUUAUCUCUAUUGCUGUAUCUCCUACUUAGAAUUUGACACACAAGAGAUAUUCAGUAAACUUGUUGGCUAUUAAGGCAGUGAAGGAACAAAUGUGUCUGCUGGCCCUUCUCCUUGUCACCCUCUCUUCCCCUUCUCUGAGCUGGUGGGGGCCCUCCUGGGUAUUCCCCCAACCCUGACACUUCAAAUCUCUUCGAUGCUAGGUGCUUCCUUUCCCACUGAGGUCAGACAAGACAGCCCAGCUAUAAAAACUAAUUUUUAUUAGUUCAUGUUCUCAGUGGGAUGCUUUUUAAGAUACUGCUAAUUAAAUUAAUAUUAAAAGCGGAAUUUUUGAGACAUUUGGAUACUAGGAUAAAAAAUUUCAGCCUUCUUAACCAAAAAUUGCGAUAGCAUUAGUCAUUUUGAAGAAAAUUUUGUUCUAAUUAAACUUGCCUCCCAUCCUGUUGCCAUUAAACCAAAAACAAAACAAUUAGUGCUAGAUAACAUUUUUGUAUAAUUUAUUACUAAACUAAAAUUUCUUAUUCCCAGGAGUAAUCUUAGUAUCUUCAUAGUGAAUCUGAUUGAACCUGUAACAUUUAGAGAUUUACUUCCCUAACAAAUGAGAACUUGAAGAAAGAAGACAAUUGGAGACCUUUAUGCCCAGACAUUCAAAAUUAAAGCCUGGAGUCAAGGUGAAGAUUUGAGUUUAGAAUGCUUAAGCACUUUGGAGUUCUGUGAUAGAGUACUAUGUCUGGGGAGAUAGAAGCGGCCUUUUACCCCAGCCCUGGCUUGAUUCCUGAACCAUCUGAGUCCUCAAGUACAUAAAAUGAAACACGUUAGCCUGUACCCAAGUUCAGUGCCCACCUUUGCAGACAUGCUCCAUGUGUACACACCAGCAGAAUGUUGAUUCUUAAAAGCACAUGAGAUGGAUUUUCAAGAUCCUGGUGGAAUUCUUCAAUCCUAGGAACCCAGGCAUGGUCUAAAAGAGAUGUAGAAGUCAAAGAGGAGCCAGAACAGGGCCUUCAGAAACACUGCAUUUGCUUGAUCCCCUGAAUAUUUUACACCAUAAAAUAUUGGAAGACAGAAGAACACUCAUUAGGGUGGCUAUGCUCUAACAAUGUAAUUUAUAAAUAAAUGAAU